UGUGUUGGUGAAGUCCUGCAAUAGUGUUUCUGUUUUGGAUGCAGUUAAAAGGCUGAUAAGUAACCUCUGUUAUUCCAUUGUGUAUCUCUCUGUACUACAUUCACAAAUCCUGGUGACCAUAAAAGAGUCAAAAUUGGAAAUGAAUUGGGGGGCACGGACUAAUCUAUUUUUAAGGGACCAAAACAGUUCCCGUAAGUCAACUUGAACUCAAAAUACAAUGGCUGAUUUAGUGUUAAUUGAAGAGGAGGAAAUACAUAGGUAUGUUUUUAAUGAUUGUAAUAAUCCCUUGGAUAUGAUGAAUGGUUGAUGAAAGGCUGAAAAGUAUUAUUAUUAUUAUUAUAACCACUUAUGAAAACAAUAAUUGCCUUUUCGUCCUCUGUCCAGUUUGUUUUGUUAGUUUUUUUUUCUGUUAUGUUUGUACUCUCCAUAGCAAAAAUAUAUUAAUACAAUUGUGAUUUUAGUAAGGGUUUGGCUUUGUGGUUCGUUAUGUUCUGAUUACUGUUAGAGGUAGUAACUAUAGCAGCCGCGGUGAUCUUUGCAGUAUGUCGUCAGAAACUACUGUGAAACGCUUAGCAUAAACACUUAGUGUCAUGAUCCUGGUCUUUUCCCCUGUCUCUGUCUCCCUCUUGUGAUCACUUACUCACUCUAUCACGCACACUCCUCCGCUCAUUAUCACUUUCAGCUGUCUCCCCUUUCAUUCCCUCACCUGUCCCUCUUUUGCCCUUGAUUGUCUCUGCUUCUUAUUCUCUCUUUCUAGCCCUGUCUUAUUGUCGGAUUAUUCGAUCACCUUACAUGAGACACACCUGUUCCCAAGUCCUGUCCUGUCUUGUCCAUGGAUGGUUUUUGUCGUUGUUUCUACUGAAACAAUGGACAAUAUGGCUGGAGAAUGCAGAGAAGUCAUUGAAUCUGAUUCACCACAAAUGGAAACAAUGGACCAUACAGCUGGAGAAUGCAGUGCAGUUAUGGAAUCUGAUCCACUUUUAA
rnacentral:lncRNA from 1 species